CCUACGGGUGGCAGCAGUGAGGAAUAUUGGUCAAUGGACGAGAGUCUGAACCAGCCAAGUAGCGUGAAGGAUGACUGCCCUAUGGGUUGUAAACUUCUUUUAUAUGGGAAUAAAACGUUCCACGUGUGGGAUUUUGUAUGUACCAUAUGAAUAAGGAUCGGCUAACUCCGUGCCAGCAGCCGCGGUAAUACGGAGGAUCCGAGCGUUAUCCGGAUUUAUUGGGUUUAAAGGGAGCGUAGGUGGAUUGUUAAGUCAGUUGUGAAAGUUUGCGGCUCAACCGUAAAAUUGCAGUUGACACUGGCAGUCUUGAGUACAGUAGAGGUGGGCGGAAUUCGUGGUGUAGCGGUGAAAUGCUUAGAUAUCACGAAGAACUCCGAUUGCGAAGGCAGUUCACUGGACUGUAACUGACACUGAGGCUCGAAAGUGUGGGUAUCAAACAGGAUUAGAUACCCGAGUAGUC
rnacentral:rRNA from 1 species